rnacentral:lncRNA from 1 species
GCACAGUAGGUGCUCAGCCCCCAAAAUGCUUCUGUGACCAUGGUCUACUCCAAACCAGGGUUACCCGUGGAGCAGCAGUCCUCGAUGGCUCACUCUACUUUGCACGUGGGAAAAACCGGUGCCAGGAGGUGAUGUGGUCCAUCCAAAGUCACACAACUGGGGAAGGGCAGUCUGGCCCUCUGCCCCACCCAGGGCCUCAGGGAAAGGAGGAAGGGUUGGCUUCACUGGUCCUAGCAGAGGAGAGCCCCUCCCACCAGCCCCGUGCCAAGGCCAGGCUCCGUCUGUCCAGACCCGGCUGCCAGGGAGCGCGAGAGGGGAGAGAUGGUUCACUCCACCUCAUCAGGCCUUAUCAGCUGGUAGACGUGAUGAGGUCAGCGUGUGGCUCCUCGCCCUUCACCUCAGCCCUGCCCUCCUGCACCCCUCUGUUGUGUCUCCCAGGGCACUCAGAGACUUCUGGCACAAGAUUGGACAUAUCACCUACUGGAAGGCUCUACUUGAACUGCCUCCUUGCCUGGUUUCAGGACUCUGCUUGCUCCAGCCAUGACCACAUGUCCUCAUGACCAGUAGCCAUGCCCAGGGACACCAGGGGAAAUGAGAGGAAGCAACUGCCCUCAAGGGCAUGGCUGGAGUCAAAAAUUGAACCAAGCGGGGCACUCUGGAGUUUGAGAAGAAACAGAAUCUGGAGACAAAGGACAGCACAGGAGUCAAAGGAGUUGGGAAGGCAUCUGUACAGUGAAAGGCAAGGAGAUGGGAUGAGAUGGAGUGUGGGCUCAGGUAGACACCUUUUCUGUGUGAAAGCAAAUGCACUGAAGGUUCUAGCCAGGACACUUAAGUAAAAAAUGAAAUAAAAGGCAUCCAGAUUGGAAAGAAGUAAAACUG